UCUUAUGAUGAGCAAAGAAUGUGGUUUCUUGAGAUGAAAACCACUUCUGGUGAAGAUGUUGUGAA
rnacentral:pre_miRNA from 1 species